CGGUUGAUUGCAAGAGGACUGCCAAUACACAGUGAAGUACAAAUCAUGGCAACGAAAGGCAUCACGGGUUGUAUAACAGAUACUACUGGUUUUGCAUAGGUGUUCAGCGCUAAGCCAAGAGUGACUGGGAGAAGAACGACCUGCAAAGACAGUAAAUGAAUGACUAUGGACACAUUUUGACGUAGAUGGCUGAGGAAUUAUGAUAUAAAAAAGCUUUUCACCUGUAAUGUUUGGUAUACUACAAUUACACUAAUUAUCAAGCAGCAAUUGUGUAAGGGCAUUUGAUACCUGCAAGAUUGACUUUGACAUUGCAACUGCAUCAACUGGAACAACUGAACCAAUGAGAAGGCCAGUUAGAAGUGGAGUAACAAGAACUGAAGCAAUGGUGCUUGAACUGGUCAAGAGAAUACUGAACGCCACGUCACUUUUGCUCAAGAAGCUGGCGUAACUUGAUAAUUGAGCCCCAGCAACACAAGACAUCAGGACAAAACCAGCAUAGAACGCCUGAGGCAUCCCAAAUGCCUGUGCUACAAGUAUGCCAAGAGCUGGCUUCAGGACAUACUGAGCAAUGAAUCCAACAGAUAAGGGCAAAGGUCUGCAACCAACAAAGCUCAAAAGCUUUAACACCAAAAUGCUAACUACCUCAACAAUGACCAGGUCCAUAAAACUAGUAAAAUUGGCCUAACCUUUUAAUAGCGAGAGCAAAAUCAUCAAUGGAAAGUCUAAUGCCAAUUGACAACAUGAUUCCUCCAAGCGCAGGAGCGUACAUUUCUUUAGACACCCUGCAUUUUUUCUAUCGUUUAUACAAAGCAACAAUAUACAAAUGUUUAAGAAAACAUAAAGUGGUAACUCAAAGCAAGAUUUUAACCCAGCAAGAGUAUAUUAGAAAGAAGUAAAACAUGCCCCAGGAAGAAAGUAAAUUCGAUUUCCCCUAAAUAGACUUCAAUUUCAGAAUCUGAUACAUUAUUUACUAGUUUAUGUCAUCGUUGCUGAUAUAAAUAGAACUCCAUCUUAUGGCUAUUAGAGACUAAGAUGUACAAAAACAGAGGAAUAUACCGUAGGCUAUAGUGAAUGUGAAAGGGAUUUGCUUCACCUGCAAGAUAUUAGCACUCCUGUUUAUUUUACUCAUAAACCCAAAAAAAGGGUUGCAGAACUAAACUUAAUAAAUAAAUUAUAUAUGCAUCCCCUAUAAUAACUUUGGGAGUGUUCAUUCAAUACCUUUCAACAAAACAUUUUGCUAAAGAAAAAAGGUAAAAUUAAAUACAAACACGCAAAACUAAAACGAAAAGUACAAAAUUUUAAAAAUCAAUAGGGACAAGUUUUCAACUGACAGUCCGCUAAACCUACCUAAACCCCUCCGAAAAGAAAGGGUUCAAAAAAGAUAUUCCUACGAAAUGAUUUUAUAAUAAGCAGAAAUUACUGAAAGCAAUAACUAAAAAGCACAAUAAUUUAUUUACAGUUAGAGUUCCGCAAUGAAAUAAAAGGUAAACAGAAGUGAUCAUUACCAAGUGAAAGUGGAAGGUUGAGAAAGAGCAGCAACAGCAGUGAGCGCCACAACAAAUGGAAGUAAUGCAGACAAAGCUUGUGAAUAAUCCGCCUUUUCAUCUUCGACAUAAAAACUCCUUGGAUUUGCACCAAACGACAGUAACGAAAAGUUACCUUCCCGUCUAUGCAAACCCACUCUCCCAAUUAACGGCGACGAAGUCGAACAUGCAACUGCGUUUAACGAGCCCCCAUUAAGACCUUUUACGUUUUUAAUAGCUUGAGAGCUUAAAUAUCGGUUCUUGCUAUGCAAAAUUGAGAAAUUGGAUAUUGAAUUGGGGGAUAAAAGAUAAGGUUUUGGGUAUUUAAGGGAUAAAGAUGGAAUUAAUGACAUUUUGAGGUUGAAGGGUAGCUUCACCGGCGAGUAUGAAUGUUCCCGAUCGCCGGAGAAAAUUGGGUUCUUUCCCGGCGAGGGAAGAAAAGAAAUGAGAGGAGGAGCA
rnacentral:lncRNA from 1 species